UCGGCCUUGACUCGAGGCCGGCAGUUUGCCAGAGCUGUGGGUUUCAAGCAGGAGCCUAGAGGAAUGUCUUUCAGUGGUCUCGUAACCAUUUCAUAAUUUUGGAAAUGGAAUGUUCAGUUCAUGAGAAACAUCU